GGAUGAAUCUUCCGCAAUGGGCGAAAGCCUGACGGAGCGACACCGCGUGCAGGAUGAAGGCCUUCGGGUUGUAAACUGCUGUCGAGCUUUAGGAAUGACCUGGCGUGAAUAGCGCCAGGGGUGACCAAAGCUGAAGGAAGCAACGGCUAACUCUGUGCCAGCAGCCGCGGUAAGACAGAGGUUGCAAACGUUGUUCGGAAUUACUGGGCAUAAAGCGCACGUAGGUGGUCUGCUAAGUCGCGUGUGAAAU
rnacentral:rRNA from 1 species